rnacentral:rRNA from 1 species
UACGUAGGUGGCAAGCGUUGUCCGGAUUUACUGGGCGUAAAGAGCGCGCAGGCGGUCGCUCAAGUCGCGUGUGAAAGCCCCCGGCUCAACUGGGGAGGGUCACGCGAUACUGAUCGACUGGAAGGCAGGAGAGGGUAGUGGAAUUCCCGGUGUAGUGGUGAAAUGCGUAGAUAUCGGAGAGACACGUGACGGCGAAGCGG